UCUUUUUAGUUUUAUAAUUUCGUUUUUAGAUAUCGUUCUUACUUAUGUUUUAUAGUAUAUUCUCGCGUCUUUUUUUGGUUUUAGUUAAUUUAAUUUGCUUUGUGGGUGAAAUAUGUUGACGUUAAAUUUUUUUUUUUUUUUUUUUUAAUUUUUUUGUUGUGUUUUAUGUUUGCGUCUUAUUAUGUUUCUCGGGUUGACCUUUACUUAAAAUUACAGCCUUUAUAAAUAAUUAUUUUUUUGCUAUUCGUCUUUUUUUUUUAGCUUUUUCCGUUUUCUCGAAUUUUGUGUUCUCUUAUAUGUUUUGCUUUAUACUUUUAUUUCGCUUGCCGUUGUACUACGUAUUCAUUUUUCUUUCGUUAUAAUUUUACUAAAUAUAUAUAGAGACUUUUUCCUUCCCGCAUCGUAUUUUGAUGGAUCUGAAUAAUUUGCACACAUGUAUGUAUAUAAUAUAUAUGUAUAUAUAUAAUAUAAUUGUUAUCUAAAUAUAUGCUCAUAUAGACCUCAUAUAUAUUAAUUCAUAUUUGACAAUUUCAGUUGGGCUUAGUGUCUGGCUUUGCUUUUGUAGUGUAGUGUAGUUCUGGUUUUCCUUUUUUCGUUUCUUUGUUUUUGUUUUUGUUUUUGCACACGGAAGAUUUACACACAUGAAUAAAAACCGAAAAAAUACACACAAAACUUUGUGCAUUUCCUUAGCUAGCUUUGGUUUCCGUUUUGAUACUUUUUGGAAUAUGUUAUGUUAUUUUAUGACCUCGUUUAUUUGUUGCCUAACUCAAUUCACAUCAAAACAGUUUUCGUUUGGUUUAUCUCAAAAGAGAAAAAUAUAUAUUAAUUAUUAUCUUUGUAUUUUACUGUUAUUAAAUCCAUUUUCCAUUUGGUUUUUGAUUAAAAAAUAUUGCAGCUCAAAAUUGUAAUACUUUGGUUUUUCAACGUUACUUAUGUCCUCUCUAAAGCAUAGAACACAGUAGAGAUCAGUUGGGUUCCCCUCUCUGUAAUCGUCCUUCAGCUACCGCUAAUACUACUCCUUACUCCCUACUCCUUUUUUAGCCCUCUCAAAUCGAACUUUUCCAUGCUGAUAUCAUCAUUUCCUUAGUGGGCUGCAAUUGCUUGAUCUGUAUUUUUUCUCAGGGUUCCGGGCGUGUCUGUAUUUGUGUCGUCUGAUUUACGUAUUUCCAUGACUCUACAUUUAUGCUGCUCAGUAUAGUAUAUGUAUAUUAGACUCUUAUUUAUGGUAAAUUGUUUGCUAGAAAUGUGUUUUCUUUUACGGAAGAAUUUGGAUACAUUUUCUUAGUUCCACUUGAUUUUAGCUAAAAGUAUAAUUUGUCUAGUAUUUUCAUUACUCUUCAGCUAAUCGUCGCUAUGUAUGUUUCUGGUAAUCCUAUCUCUCGGUUUUUAUAGCACAUUCAUUGGGCGCUUUUGUAACGGCGCCUGUAGCGACCAGAUAGUUUAGUUCGGCCUAGAAGCAUGCUUUAAAAUAUAUCUAAGCUCGGCUUAGUGUCUUAGCUAAUUACACAUAUGUUUGCUAAAUCAGCUGUAACAGAGAUGCAGUGGGAAGCUCGUCUUAGACAUCUGGUGUUAUCAUCUGUGGCGAACUUCCGACCAUACCCUAGCCUAACACUACCUAUAUUUGGUAAGGUUCUUUUCUGACUGACAUCCGAUAUAAGCAGACGUGCCUUUUGCAUUACUCCAACAAAGUUUUUAUUUAAAAAUAUUAUAUAUUGAAAUCGUGGAAAAUAAUAAGAGGAAUAAGUGCAGCGAGCCUAGCUGAAUAAUAUUUUUGUGAUUAAUUUUGGAAAACUAUUGCGAUAUAUAUAUGAUAUAUAUAUUUCUCACGUGGCCAUCAAUAUUGGCAUCCGUGGGAGCACCCCUUCAAGACAGUGGGGGGCAUGAUUGUAUAUCGUGCCCCAAAUUAAAUCGGAUAAGGAAAAUUAAGGAAUAAGAAUCGGAAUUAAAGGAAAAAUAAGGAGUUUCAACUGGAAUUAAAUUCAAGAAUGCAGCAUUAAAGAAGUGAUUUGGAGAGAUGUUUAACCCUCUCUACCCACGGCAGCAGCAGCAGCAGAUUUAGUAUAGCCAAAUAUGGACACAAAAGGGAAUGUAUAACCUGGAAUUUCUUUUAAGCCGCUACUGCGAUUUUUUUUAAAGUGAAAUAUUAUAAUUAAAAAUUUGAAAGUUUUGAAACGUGCCAAAGUGAAGAAAAUUUAAUGAAUCAAAGAUAGCAACAUGCCGUAAAAAUCAAGUUUAAGUGAUAUUUUCUAAAGUCUGAAUGAUUCAGUCUAAAACGUAAUAUUUAAAUUAAAUUAAAUUUAAAACUUAAUUUUUCACGAGUGGAGUUAUUUACGCAUCGAUUUUGUUUUGGAAAAUUCGCUCAACUAUGACUUAAAAGCGAUAAAUUAAAUAUUUAUUUUUUUUUUGUAAAUUUAAAUAUAAUUUGAAAAUAGCAACUUCUGAUAAGAAACAAUAGUGAAUAUUAAAUUUAAAAAUGUGGUUAAGUGAAGAUAUCACAGUCGCUUCUCAGUAAAAUAUGUAGGCCUAAAAGGGUUCCAAGUUAAAAGAUUUUUAUAGAAUAGUUUUGUGUUUUCGAGCCCCAAUUUCACCCUUUACAGCCACCUGCCCGGGAGAUCGAUCUUUCGCCGCUGGAACAACGUAUAAGCUGUGAGUUUAUUAUUCUCAUUAUUGCAUUUAUAUCUAUUCUAUUUAUAUCUUAUUGCGAAAUACUCUAUGAAAUAAUUUUUAACAAUCUACUUGAAUGAAACUGUGAAUUUAAAAGAACCCUGAACCGAUAGCCUCACUAAACUAAAUUAAAUUAAACAAAAAGAUAUCAAACAGAAUGAAGAUGAUUUAGUGAAAUAAAAAAAUAAAUUAAAGCAAUGAAAUUUAAAUAUCUAUUGUUAU